CCGCCGCGCGGCGGGCGGGGCGGGGGCACGGGGGGAGAAAAGCAGGGGAUCGAAAGACCUUGUGCUUUUUGAGCGGCCGAUGCCUGAUUAGCUUGUUGGUGGGGUAAUGGCCUACCAAGGCGACGAUCAGUAGCUGGUCUGAGAGGACGACCAGCCACACUGGGACUGAGACACGGCCCAGACUCCUACGGGAGGCAGCAGUGGGGAAUUUUGGACAAUGGGCGAAAGCCUGAUCCAGCCAUGCCGCGUGAGUGAAGAAGGCCUUCGGGUUGUAAAGCUCUUUCGGUCGGGAAGAAAUAGUUGCGGCUAAUAUCUGCAAUAAAUGACGGUACCGACAUAAGAAGCACCGGCUAACUACGUGCCAGCAGCCGCGGUAAUACGUAGGGUGCAAGCGUUAAUCGGAAUUAUUGGGCGUAAAGGGUGCGCAGGUGGUUAUAUAAGUCAGAUGUGAAAUCCCUGGGCUUAACCUAGGAAUUGCGUUUGAAACUACAAAGCUAGA
rnacentral:rRNA from 1 species